GCGAUGUAGGUGAAAGCAGUGGUGGAGGAGGAGGAUGAGGUAGCCAACACUGUUUUUUAUGUUUUUUUUUAAUUGUGGUAGCCCACAAAAUAUUGGGACAUACAAAAAAAGUAGAGUAGCUGUUGACAUUAUAGUUGCGCAGGCACUUUGUUGACUCUAGAGAACCUCGGGCCAAUCGCAUAUCCUUGUGGCGGCAACUUUGCAUGCGGAUGUCAUCCAUAUCAACUGUCGAUGCCAGUACGGGUAACGGAGAAUCAGGGUUCCAUUCCGUACAAGAACCCUGAGAAACGGCUACUACAUGCAAGGAAGGCAGCAGGCG